rnacentral:rRNA from 1 species
UACGUAGGGUGCAAGCGUUAAUCGGAAUUACUGGGCGUAAAGCGUGCGCAGGCGGUUAUGCAAGACAGAUGUGAAAUCCCCGGGCUUAACCUGGGAACUGCAUUUGUGACUGCAUAGCUAGAGUACGGUAGAGGGGGAUGGAAUUCCGCGUGUAGCAGUGAAAUGCGUAGAUAUGCGGAGGAACACCGAUGGCGAAGGCAGUCCCCUGGACCUGUACUGGCGCUCAUGCGCGAAAGCGUGGGGAGCAAACAGG